CCCGCUGAACUUAAGCAUAUCAAUAAGCGGAGGAAAAGAAACCAACAGGGAUUGCCUCAGUAACGGCGAGUGAAGCGGCAACAGCUCAAAUUUGAAAUCUGGCUCCCUCGGGGCCCGAGUUGUAAUUUGUAGAAGAUGCUUCGGGUGUGGUUCUGGUCUAAGUUCCUUGGAACAGGACGUCAUAGAGGGUGAGAAUCCCGUAUGUGACCUGGUACCUAUGCCCAUGUGAAGCUCUUUCAACGAGUCGAGUUGUUUGGGAAUGCAGCUCAAAACGGGUGGUAAAUUUCAUCUAAAGCUAAAUACUGGCCGGGGAGCGAUAGCGAACAAGUACCGUGAGGGAAAGAUGAAAAGAACUUUGGAAAGAGAGUUAAACAGUACGUGAAAUUGUUGAAAGGGAAACGCUUGAAGUCAGUCACGUUGGCCAGAAAUCAACUUGUAACAGGGCGUAAUUUCUGGUUUUACGGGUCAACAUCAAUUUUGAUUGUUGGAUAAAAGUCAAUAUUUAUGUGUUUUCGGACGUGUAGCCUUUGAUUGCAUACAAUGGUUGGGAUUGAGGAACUCAGCACGCCGCAAGGCCGGGUAACUUGUUACCACGUAACGUGCUUAGGAUGUUGGCAUAAUGGCUUUAAUCGACCCGUCUUGAAACACGG
rnacentral:rRNA from 1 species